rnacentral:tRNA from 1 species
AGGUAAUUAUUUUAAGUAAAAUAUUUGAUUUCGGCUCAAAAGCUUGUGGUUAAAGUCCACAAUCACCUA